GAUGAACGCUGGCGGCGUGCCUAAUACAUGCAAGUCGAGCGAACGGACGAGAAGCUUGCUUCUCUGAUGUUAGCGGCGGACGGGUGAGUAACACGUGGAUAACCUACCUAUAAGACUGGGAUAACUUCGGGAAACCGGAGCUAAUACCGGAUAAUAUUUUGAACCGCAUGGUUCAAAAGUGAAAGACGGUCUUGCUGUCACUUAUAGAUGGAUCCGCGCUGCAUUAGCUAGUUGGUAAGGUAACGGCUUACCAAGGCAACGAUGCAUAGCCGACCUGAGAGAGUGGUCGUCCACACUGGAACUGAAACACGGUCCACACUCCUACGGGAGGCAGCAGUAGGGAAUCUUCCGCAAUGGGCGAAAGCCUGACGGAGCAACGCCGCGUGAGUGAUGAAGGUCUUCGGAUCGUAAAACUCUGUUAUUAGGGAAGAACAUAUGUGUAAGUAACUGUGCACAUCUUGACGGUACCUAAUCAGAAAGCCACGGCUAACUACGUG
rnacentral:rRNA from 1 species